rnacentral:ncRNA from 1 species
UGGUAUCAGGCACCACUACAAUUGAGCCCACGACACCUUGCUUUGCCACACCCCCACGGGAACUCAGCAGUGAUAAACAUUGAAAAUAAGCGACAAAAGCUUGACUCAGUUACAGCAACCAGAGUCGGUUAAUCUCGUGCCAGCCACCGCGGUUAUACGAGAGACUCAAAUUGAUAUCCAACGGCGUAAAGCGUGAUUAAAGAACCUUCAAUAAUUAAAGUUAAACUACAGCCAAGCUGUCGCACGCUACCGCUGUUCGGAACACCUAUCACGAAAGUAACUUUAACCAACCCACUUGAACUCACGACCGCUAGGAAACAAACUGGGAUUAGAUACCCCACUAUGCCUAGCCUUAAACUUUGCCAAUUACACCAAACUCCCGCCAGGGUACUACGAGCAUUAGCUUAAAACCCAAAGGACUUGGCGGUGCCCCAAACCCACCUAGAGGAGCCUGUUCUAUAAUCGAUAACCCCCGCUUAACCUCACCACUUCUUGCCCAACCCGCCUAUAUACCACCGUCGCCAGCCCACCCCGUGAGGGCAAUCAAGUAGGCAUAAUUACCAAGCGUAAAAACGUCAGGUCAAGGUGUAGCACAUGAAGUGGAAAGAAAUGGGCUACAUUUUCUAACAUAGAAUACAACGAAAGACUACUAUGAAAACUACUCAGAAGGAGGAUUUAGCAGUAAAGAGAAACAAGAGUGUUCUUUUUAAAAAGGCCCUGGGGCGCGCACACACCGCCCGUCACCCUCAUCAAAUGAUAAGUAAACAUUAAAUAAAUCAACAUAUCAACCCCAAGAAGAGGCAAGUCGUAACAUGGUAAGUACACCGGAAGGUUUGCUUGGAA